rnacentral:rRNA from 1 species
UACGUAGGGUGCGAGCGUUAAUCGGAAUUACUGGGCGUAAAGCGUGCGCAGGCGGUUCGUUGUGUCGGCGGUGAAAGCCCCGGGCUUAACCUGGGAAUGGCCGUUGAAACUGGCGAACUGGAGUGUGGCAGAGGGGGGUGGAAUUCCGCGUGUAGCAGUGAAAUGCGUAGAGAUGCGGAGGAACACCAGUGGCGAAGGCGAUCAUCUGGGACUAACCUGACGCUGAGGAGCGAAAGCCAGGGGAGCAAACGGG